UCCCCCGCCAAAAUUUUUGAAUAACUUUCAAAAACUUAGGCGGGGGCGGUCUCCUGUGACUACGUGUAACACAGGAUAGGGGUUGCGCUCGUUAACCCACUUAAGGGAACAACUCAAGCCACGAGCUGACGACAACCGUGCAGCACCUGCCCAACCGUCCUGAUUAAAAACCAAGAAGAUACACCUUUCGGCAUAUCGUCGAUUGGGUUUCAAGCCCUGGUGAGGUGCCUCGUUUACCAUCGAAUUAAACCACAUGCUCCACCGCUUGUGCGAGUCCCCGUCUAUUCCUUUGAGUUUUAGUCUUGCGACCGUACUUCCCAGGCGGUCUACUUAACGCGUUAGCUUCGUCACUGAGAGGGUCGAUACUCCCAAUAACUAGUAGACAUCGUUUAGGGCGUGG
rnacentral:misc_RNA from 1 species